AUUGAACGCUGGCGGCAUGCCUUACACAUGCAAGUCGAACGGUAACAGGUCUUCGGAUGCUGACGAGUGGCGAACGGGUGAGUAAUACAUCGGAACGUGCCCGAUCGUGGGGGAUAACGAAGCGAAAGCUUUGCUAAUACCGCAUAAGAUCUACGGAUGAAAGCAGGGGACCGCAAGGCCUUGCGCGAACGGAGCGGCCGAUGGCAGAUUAGGUAGUUGGUGGGAUAAAAGCUUACCAAGCCGACGAUCUGUAGCUGGUCUGAGAGGACGACCAGCCACACUGGGACUGAGACACGGCCCAGACUCCUACGGGAGGCAGCAGUGGGGAAUUUUGGACAAUGGGCAAAAGCCUGAUCCAGCCAUGCCGCGUGCAGGAUGAAGGCCUUCGGGUUGUAAACUGCUUUUGUACGGAACGAAAAGACUCUGGUUAAUACCUGGGGUCCAUGACGGUACCGUAAGAAUAAGCACCGGCUAACUACGUG
rnacentral:rRNA from 1 species